AUGGAUAGUGGCUGCACCAACCACAUGACUGGUGAUCGAAGUCUUCUGAUGAAUUCAACUCUUCGACCUUCUGAUAAAAGUCAUAUCACAUUUGCUGACAAUGGUAAAAGUAAGGUACUGGGUCUUGGUAGAGUUGCAAUCUCAAAGGAUCAACACAUGGAUAAAGUGAUGCUUGUUGAAUCCUUUGAUUUCAACUUAAUGUUUGUAUCAAUGCUAUGUGAUUUGAACAUGAUUGUGAUAUUUAGAAAGUAUCAUUGUCUUGUCCUUAUGGAAUCUGACAAAUCUCUAGUAUUUGAAGGGUAUCCAAAAGAUGAUCUGUAUAUGGUAGAUUUCUCAGCAGGACCACAACUUGCCGUAUGUCUUCUAGCAAAAGCUUCAUAG
rnacentral:rRNA from 1 species